AACGAACGCUGGCGGCAGGCCUAACACAUGCAAGUCGAGCGGCAGCACGGGUACUUGUACCUGGUGGCGAGCGGCGGACGGGUGAGUAAUGCCUAGGAAUCUGCCUGGUAGUGGGGGAUAACGCUCGGAAACGGACGCUAAUACCGCAUACGUCCUACGGGAGAAAGCAGGGGGACCUUCGGGCCUUGCGCUAUCAGAUGAGCCUAGGUCGGAUUAGCUAGUUGGUGAGGUAAUGGCUCACCAAGGCGACGAUCCGUAACUGGUCUGAGAGGAUGAUCAGUCACACUGGAACUGAGACACGGUCCAGACUCCUACGGGAGGCAGCAGUGGGAAUAUUGGACAAUGGGCAAAGCCUGAUCCAGCCAUGCCGCGUGUGUGAAGAAGGUCUUCGGAUUGUAAAGCACUUUAAGUUGGGAGGAAGGGCAGUUACCUAAUACGUAUCUGUUUUGACGUUACCGACUAG
rnacentral:rRNA from 1 species